GAUACCACCCUUGUCGUACUGAAGUUCUAACCCGCACCCCUGAUCGGGGUGGGAGACCGUGUCAGGUGGGCAGUUUGACUGGGGCGGUCGCCUCCCAAAGAGUAACGGAGGCGCCCAAAGGUUCCCUCAGAAUGGUUGGAAAUCAUUCGAAGAGUGUAAAGGCAGAAGGGAGCUUGACUGCGAGACCUACAAGUCGAGCAGGGACGAAAGUCGGGCUUAGUGAUCCGGUGGUUCCGCAUGGAAGGGCCAUCGCUCAACGGAUAAAAGCUACCCCGGGGAUAACAGGCUUAUCUCCCCCAAGAGUCCACAUCGACGGGGAGGUUUGGCACCUCGAUGUCGGCUCAUCGCAUCCUGGGGCUGUAGUCGGUCCCAAGGGUUGGGCUGUUCGCCCAUUAAAGCGGUACGCGAGCUGGGUUCAGAACGUCGUGAGACAGUUCGGUCCCUAUCCGUCGCGGGCGCAGGAAAUUUGAGAGGAGCUGUCCUUAGUACGAGAGGACCGGGAUGGACGCACCGCUGGUGUACCAGUUGUCCUGCCAAGGGCACCGCUGGGUAGCUAUGUGCGGAAGGGAUAAGCGCUGAAAGCAUCUAAGCGUGAAGCCCCCCUCAAGAUGAGAUUUCCCAUUGCAUAAGCAAGUAAGAUCCCUCGAAGAUGACGAGGUAGAUAGGUCCGAGGUGGAAGCGUGGCGACACGUGCAGCUGACGGAUACUAAUCGAUCGAGGACUUAACCAAU
rnacentral:rRNA from 1 species